GAUGAAGAACGUAGUGAAAUGCGAUAAGUAAUGUGAAUUGCAGAAUUCAGUGAAUCAUCGAAUCUUUGAACGCACCUUGCACCCUUUGGUAUUCCGAAGGGUAUGCUCGUUUGAGUGUCAUUGUACUCUCACACUUCUAAUUCCUUUCGGGAUUUGGAGCGGUGGACUUGGGUGUUGCUGCUUUAGUUGUGGCUCACCUCAAAUAAGUUAGUGCAACUCUUGGUUGGACAUAGUACGGCGUGAUAAGUGUCUUCGCCGGCGCCUCUGUAAGGAGGGUGGCCGAUCGGGAGCUCUGUGCUUCAAACCGUCUUCGGACAAUCUUUGACAACUUGACCUCAAAUCGAGUAGGACUACCCGCUGAACUUAAGCAUAUCAAUAAGCGGAGGA
rnacentral:misc_RNA from 1 species